ACCCUCAUGUCUAGUAUAGCAUUAUACAGCGAAACUGCGAAUGGCUCAUUAUAUAAGUUAUCGUUUAUUUGAUAGUACCUUACUACUUGGAUAACCGUGGUAAUUCUAGAGCUAAUACAUGCUAAAAAUCCCGACUUCGGAAGGGAUGUAUUUAUUAGAUUAAAAACCAAUGCCCUUCGGGGCUCACUGGUGAUUCAUAAUAACUUCUCGAAUCGCAUGGCCUUGCGCCGGCGAUGGUUCAUUCAAAUWUCUUCCCUAUCAACUUUCGAUGCUAGAGUAGUGUUCUAGCAUGGUUACAACGGGUAACGGAGGGUUAGGGCUCGACCCCGGAGAAGGAGCCUGAGAAACGGCUACUACAUCCAAGGAAGGCAGCAGGCGCGCAAAUUACCCAAUCCCGACUCGGGGAGGUAGUGACGAUAAAUACUGAUACAGGGCUCUUUUGGGUCUUGUAAUUGGAAUGAGUACAAUUUAAAUCCCUUUAACGAGGAACAAUUGGAGGGCAAGUCUGGUGCCAGCAGCCGCGGUAAUUCCAGCUCCAAUAGCGUAUAUUAAAGUUGUUGUGGUUAAAAAGCUCGUAGUAGAACCUUGGGCCUGGCUGGCCGGUCCGCCUCACCGCGUGCACUGGUCCGGCCGGGCCUUUCCCUCUGUGGAACCGCAUGCCCUUCACUGGGUGUGCCGGGGAAACAGGACUUUUACUUUGAAAAAAUUAGAGUGCUCCAGGCAGGCCUAUGCUCGAAUACAUUAGCAUGGAAUAAUAGAAUAGGACGUGUGGUUCUAUUUUGUUGGUUUCUAGGACCGCCGUAAUGAUUAAUAGGGACAGUCGGGGGCAUCAGUAUUCAAUUGUCAGAGGUGAAAUUCUUGGAUUUAUUGAAGACUAACUACUGCGAAAGCAUUUGCCAAGGAUGUUUUCAUUUAUCAGGAACGAAAGUUAGGGGAUCGAAGACGAUCAGAUACCGUCGUAGUCUUAACCAUAAACUAUGCCGACUAGGGAUCGGACGAUGUUAUUUUUUGACUCGUUCGGCACCUUACGAGAAAUCAAAGUGCUUGGGCUCCAGGGGGAGUAUGGUCGCAAGGCUGAAACUUAAAGAAAUUGACGGAAGGGCACCACCAGGGGUGGAGCCUGCGGCUUAAUUUGACUCAACACGGGGAAACUCACCAGGUCCAGACACAAUGAGGAUUGACAGAUUGAGAGCUCUUUCUUGAUUUUGUGGGUGGUGGUGCAUGGCCGUUCUUAGUUGGUGGAGUGAUUUGUCUGCUUAAUUGCGAUAACGAACGAGACCUUAACCUGCUAAAUAGCCCGUAUUGCUUUGGCAGUACGCCGGCUUCUUAGAGGGACUAUCGCUCAAGCCGAGAUU
rnacentral:rRNA from 1 species